rnacentral:rRNA from 1 species
GACGAACGCUGGCGGCGUGCUUAACACAUGCAAGUCGAACGGAAAGGCCCUGCUUUUGUGGGGUGCUCGAGUGGCGAACGGGUGAGUAACACGUGAGUAACCUGCCCUUGACUUUGUGAUAACUUCAGGAAACUGGGGCUAAUACCCGAUAGGAGCUCCUGCUGCAUGGUGGGGGUUGGAAAGUUUCGGCGGUUGGGGAUGGACUCGCGGCUUAUCAGCUUGUUGGUGGGGUAGUGGCUUACCAAGGCUUUGACGGAUAGCCGGCCUGAGAGGGGGAACGGCCACAAUGGGACUGAGAGACGGCGCAGAAUGCUACGGGAGGCAGCAGGCGGAAAUAUUGCACAAUGGGCGGGAGCCUGAUGCAGCAACGCCGGGUGCGGGAUGACGGCCUUCGGGUUGUAAACCGCUGUCGCCUGUGACGAAGCGUGAGUGACGGUAAUGGGUAAAGAAGCACCGGCUAACUACGUG